rnacentral:rRNA from 1 species
UGGGGAAUUUUGGACAAUGGGCGCAAGCCUGAUCCAGCCAUGCCGCGUGCGGGAAGAAGGCCUUCGGGUUGUAAACCGCUUUUGUCAGGGAAGAAAUCUUCUGAGUUAAUACCUCGGGAGGAUGACGGUACCUGAAGAAUAAGCACCGGCUAACUACGUGCCAGCAGCCGCGGUAAUACGUAGGGUGCAAGCGUAAUCGGAAUUACUGGGCGUAAAGCGUGCGCAGGCGGUUUUGUAAGACAGAGGUGAAAGCCGCCCGGUCAACCUGGGAACUGCCUUUGUGACUGCAAGGCUUGAGUGCGGCAGAGGGGGGAUGGAAUUCCGCGUGUAGCAGUGAAAUGCGUAGAUAUGCGGAGGAACACCGAUGGCGAAGGCAAUCCCCUGGGCCUGCACUGACGCUCAUGCACGAAAAGCGUGGGGAGCAAAACAGGAUUAGAUACCCCUGGUAGUCCACGCCCUAAAACGAUGUCAACUGGUUGUUGGGAAGGUUCCUUCUCAGUAACGUAGCUAACGCGUGAAGUUGACCGCCUGGGGAGUACGGCCGCAAGGUU